rnacentral:rRNA from 1 species
UACAGAGGGGGCAAGCGUUGUUCGGAAUUACUGGGCGUAAAGGGCGCGUAGGCGGCCUUCUAAGUCGAACGUGAAAUCCCCGGGCUCAACCCGGGAACUGCGUCCGAUACUGGUAGGCUUGAAUUCGGGAGAGGGAUGCGGAAUUCCAGGUGUAGCGGUGAAAUGCGUAGAUAUCUGGAGGAACACCGGUGGCGAAGGCGGCAUCCUGGACCGACAUUGACGCUGAGGCGCGAAAGCCAGGGGAGCAAACGGG